UUCCUGGUGGCUCAGACAGUAAAGAAUCUGCCUGCAAUGCAGAAGACCCAGGUUUGAUUCCUGGGUUGGGAA
rnacentral:tRNA from 1 species